rnacentral:rRNA from 1 species
CCUACGGGAGGCAGCAGUGAGGAAUAUUGGUCAAUGGACGAGAGUCUGAACCAGCCAAGUAGCGUGAAGGAUGACUGCCCUAUGGGUUGUAAACUUCUUUUAUAUGGGAAUAAAAUGUUCCAAGUGUGGGAUUUUGUAUGUACCAUAUGAAUAAGGAUCGGCUAACUCCGUGCCAGCAGCCGCGGUAAUACGGAGGAUCCGAGCGUUAUCCGGAUUUAUUGGGUGUAAAGGGAGCGUAGGUGGAUUGUUAAGUCAGUUGUGAAAGUUUGCGGCUCAACCGUAAAAUUGCAGUUGAAACUGGCAGACUUGAGUACAGUAGAGGUGAGCGGAAUUCGUGGUGUAGCGGUGAAAUGCUUAGAUAUCACGAAGAACUCCGAUUGCGAAGGCAGCUCACUGGACUGCAACUGACACUGAGGCUCGAAAGUGUGGGUAUCAAACAGGAUUAGAUACCCCAGUAGUC